AGAUGUCCGACGAUUAGUCGUGGCCAUGUCAAGAGCCAGACUUGGGCUUUAUAUCUUUGCAAGAGUAUCACUCUUUCAGAACUGUUUUGAGCUAACUCCAGCUUUCAGCCAGCUCACAGCUAGACCACUUCACCUCCAUAUAAUUCCCACAGAAUGUUUUCCAGCUGCAAGACAGAAUGGGGAACCACCGACUCACCAAAUACAUGUUAUCAAGAAUAUGCCUCAAAUGGCUAACUUUGUUUACAACAUGUAUAUGCACAUGAUACAGAGUACACGCCACUACCAACAGGUAAGGACCUUCAACUAUUCAAAGGUAUGUAUACAAAAUAAAACUUAUUUUGGUAAGCAACAGGGAGUGCUGUUGUGGUUUGAGACUGUUACUGUUAUAUUUAAAAUUCAAAAAGGUUUUAAAGCUGAGAGUGAGAAUAUUGAAAUCUCUAAAAUCUUGCAGUAGCAAGUAACUGAGGAUGCAAUUUAAGACCUUCUAAAUAGAUGUUAAAACGUGCUAGACGUGAUUCUGUUUGGGCACAAAAGUUCUUUGUUAAUGCCAAGUAACUAGUUUGCCCAAUGUUUAAUUGAGGUAAACUUGUGCAUUAUAUUUCAGUAAGUGGAAGCCUGGUGGAAUAGUGUUUUCUAAUAGAUGCUUUCUUGACAUGGCUGCAGCCUACAGAGUUUUAGAGUCUCCUUGCCUUUAAAUCAUUUUAAUUGAGUUAGCUCACUGCAUUUUCCAGUCUGGUUAGCAGCUGUAGCACUUGUGUGUGCAAGUCUGGAGGAAUUUUUUUUUUUUCAGCACUGGUUCAGCACUUCACUUAAUAGUACAGUGUAAGAAGUAGUGGUAGAUGACUUUCUCACUUUUUAUACUUAAUUUUAUCACUGCUUAAUCCCUGGAGCAGAAUUCAAAACCCAUUAGGGAUCUUGAGUCCUUACUGUGUAUGUAAGCAGAGCUUUAAAACAGUUUAAAUAGUAUAUAGAGGUCUGCUUUUAGUCAGUGUACUUGGAUCUGUAGAUGGCUAGAGAUAGUUGACAGUCAGCAUAACUGGAGAGGUCUUUAAUGCUAUCCCUGAACUGGAAUGCCUUCCAUUUAAUGUCUGGGUAUAUCAUGUUACUUAUAAUGUAAUCUUACUUGGUACUCCCUUGUUGGUUUUUGCUCUUCUGAAGAAUUUCUGAAGGUGGAAAAUACUGAUGUAAAAGAAAUGCUAUCUGAUUGUGCAAAGAGCAUCAGCAUGAUUCCACUUUUCUGAAAGAUCUAGUUUCUGUUCUCUAUUGCAAGGUUUGUUUGACUCCUUAACUAAAUGUGCACCUGAACAUUCUGCUAGUACCAGAUAUUCUUUUUAGCAUCUUAGUCUUAUGCUGCUAGCUAAAAUUAGUUUAAAAAAAAAAAAAAAAAUAAGAAAAAAA